UUCCAAAUGUUGAGUUCAGUCCAGGGCAGCUUCCCUGUUGUGUGAAUUAAAAUGUGGAACAUUGAAACACAGGCCAGGUGAGAUGAUUGGAUAGACAACCUCACUCUAUUCGUUUACCCCCCAGCCCACAAAA